AUGGCGGCCAUGUCCGGUUUAGUUGCAGCAGCAGCAGAGGCAGUCGAGGCAGCACUCGCAUGUCUCGUAGCAGCAGAAGCAGCACAGCGCUGUGAACACGCUGCAGACCCGAAUAAAAUCCAAUCAGCCAGACACAGAAAAACAAAUCUACAAAGUGAACAACGAUCAAAACAAAAUGAAUUAACAGGAGCUAGUACUAGGGGAAUCAGUUCCAAGAUAUUCCUGGCCUGCCUCUAUGGUUUCUCCGAGGAUUUUUCAGAUGGCAGAAAAGUUAAUCUCUCUCUCGGUCUCUGCAUCGACAGAUGCACACGGCCGAGAGAUUUCUCAAUUGACAGGACCAGCAGAGCAAAACCCAGAGAGAGGGGGAGUGAGCGAGUGGAUGAACAAACUGUGAGUGUGUGUGUGUGUGUGUGUCUCACCAUGCGUAGAUGCAGCCCUUCUCCUCGUGGCGCUUCUGCACGUGCUCCGUGUAGGACAUCUCCUGCCCCGACGGAGCGUUAUACAUCUUCGCAAAGGGUGGGUUGGGUUACUAUGGAAGAAGAAGAAGAGGUGUCCAAGGGUUGUGCUCUGCUCUGCUCUCCUCUCCUGUGGCUUUGGGAAGAUGUAGGAUUGGAACGGGAAGGAGUGGGUGGGGUUUUAUAG
rnacentral:rRNA from 1 species